rnacentral:rRNA from 1 species
GUGGGGAAUUUUGGACAAUGGGCGCAAGCCUGAUCCAGCAAUGCCGCGUGCAGGAUGAAGGCCUUCGGGUUGUAAACUGCUUUUGUACGGAACGAAAAGCCCUGGGUUAAUACCCUGGGGUCAUGACGGUACCGUAAGAAUAAGCACCGGCUAACUACGUGCCAGCAGCCGCGGUAAUACGUAGGGUGCGAGCGUUAAUCGGAAUUACUGGGCGUAAAGCGUGCGCAGGCGGUUUUGUAAGACAGAGGUGAAAUCCCCGUGCUCAACCUGGGAACUGCCUUUGUGACUGCAAGGCUAGAGUACGGCAGAGGGGGAUGGAAUUCCGCGUGUAGCAGUGAAAUGCGUAGAUAUGCGGAGGAACACCGAUGGCGAAGGCAAUCCCCUGGGCCUGUACUGACGCUCAUGCACGAAAGCGUGGGGAGCAAACAGGAUUAGAUACCCUUGUAGUCC